rnacentral:rRNA from 1 species
AACGAACGCUGGCGGCAGGCCUAACACAUGCAAGUCGAGCGAGCAUUUCGGUGCUAGCGGCGGACGGGUGAGUAACGCGUGGGAACGUGCCCUUUUCUGCGGAAUAGUCCUGGGAAACUGGGGGUAAUACCGCAUACGCCCUUUUGGGGAAAGAUUUAUCGGAGAAGGAUCGGCCCGCGUUGGAUUAGGUAGUUGGUGGGGUAAUGGCCCAUCAAGCCGACGAUCCAUAGCUGGUUUGAGAGGAUGAUCAGCCACACUGGGACUGAGACACGGCCCAGACUCCUACGGGAAGCAGCAGUGGGGAAUCUGAGACAAUGGGGGCAACCCUGAUGUAGCCAUGCCGCGUGAGUGAUGUAGGCCUUAGGGUAGUAAAGCUCUUUCAGCUGUGAAGAUAAUGACGGUACCAGCAGAAGAAGCCCCGGCUAACUCCGUG